rnacentral:rRNA from 1 species
AUUGAACGCUGGCGGCAGGCCUAACACAUGCCAGUCGAACGGAUGAAGGGAGCUUGCUCCUGGAUUCAGCGGCGGACGGGUGAGUAAUGCCUAGGAAUCUGCCUGGUAGUGGGGGAUAACGUCCGGAAACGGGCGCUAAUACCGCAUACGUCCUGAGGGAGAAAGUGGGGGAUCUUCGGACCUCACGCUAUCAGAUGAGCCUAGGUCGGAUUAGCUAGUUGGUGGGGUAAAGGCCUACCAAGGCGACGAUCCGUAACUGGUCUGAGAAGAUGAUCAGUCACACUGGAACUGAGACACGGUCCAGACUCCUACGGGAGGCAGCAGUGGGGAAUAUUGGACAAUGGGCGAAAGCCUGAUCCAGCCAUGCCGCGUGUGUGAAGAAGGUCUUCGGAUUGUAAAGCACUUUAAGUUGGGAGGAAGGGCAGUAAGUUAAUACCUUGCUGUUUUGACGUUACCAACAGAAUAAGCACCGGCUAACUUCGUG